UCCCUGGUGGUCUAGUGGCUAGGAUUCGGCACGCUCACUGCCGUGGCCUGGGUUCGAUUCCCGGUCAGGGAG